rnacentral:rRNA from 1 species
AGCUCCAAUAGUAUAUAUUAGUGUUGUUGCAGUUAAAGCGCUCGUAGUUGGAUUUUGGCUCUGUCUGAAUGGUCCACCGGAAGGUGUGCACUGCUUAGAUUGAGCUUCCUUCUGAAGAACAUGCAUGCUCUUUAUCGGGUGUGUAUGCAAUUCAGGACAUUUACUUUGAAAAAAUUAGAGUGUUCAAAGCAGGCCUUAGCUUGAAUACAUUAGCAUGGAAUAAUAAAAUAGGACUUUUGUUCUAUUUUGUUGGUUUUCGGAAUGAAAGUAAUGAUUAAUAGGGAUAGUUGGGGCCAUCAGUAUUUCUUCGUCAGAGGUGAAAUUCUUGGAUUGAAGAAAGACUAACUUCUGCGAAAGCAUUUGGCAAGGAUGUUUUCAUUA